rnacentral:rRNA from 1 species
UACGGAGGGUGCGAGCGUUGUCCGGAAUCAUUGGGCGUAAAGGGCGCGUAGGUGGCCCGGUCAGUCUUUGGUGAAAGCGCGGGGCUCAACCCUGCGUCGGCCAGGGAUACUGCCGCGGCUCGAGCACUGUAGAGGCAGGCGGAAUUCCGGGUGUAGCGGUGGAAUGCGUAGAGAUCCGGAAGAACACCGAUGGCGAAGGCAGCCCCCUGGGCUAGCACUGACGCUCAGGCACGAAAGCGUGGGGAGCAAACAGG